rnacentral:lncRNA from 1 species
GGGGGGUUUGGAGGAGGAGAAACUCUCCGAUGGGAAAGAGAAAGAGGAGGAGGAGGAGGGUGGGAAUCUGGGAAAGCAGAAUGAGAGAGCGGAGGAAGGCUGAUAAAGUUUUCCUGCAGCUGGAGUUUGAGUCGGUCACAGACUGCUUUUCUUCUGCUCGCAGCACACAAACGGAGGAUUUAAAGAGCUGGAGCAGAGGAGCAGACAGCAGAAGGAAUAGCAGAGAGGAUCAUGAGUGUGGAUGCCGUCUUUCCUGGGCUCAGAUUUCACAAAAUGAGAGACCACUGCACUACUGCAGGGCGCAUGCAACAGAGCAAGGAUGCCAUCUGCUAGCACCAUGACUGGCGGGAGAGCAUUGCUGCUCUGUACAAACACAGAGGACUGCAUCUACCAAUCAGCAAACGGGCUCCACUGCUGCGGACUGAAGCUUGACCAGACCCAGUCUGUGGUGCUUCAGCGGUCAGACCUGUGUGGGGUCGGGGACAGUCUCUCGUCUCUCCCAAGCCCAGGACACACCAUCAUGCUUGCCCACAAGAGUCCCUCCAACCCUCGGCACAUCGAGAAUGGUCUGAGCAGCAAAUCUCCCAGGACUCCCUCUGGGCUUAAAAGCGUAGCAAGUAUUCGGGACAAGAUUUCCCAAUGGGAAGGUAAAACUGAGACCAUCGGCUCAAACACCCAAACAGUGGCACUGAAGGACGCUGAAGCUGGGAAGAAAACAGGACAGCCUGAAGUACAAAGGAAAGACAGCAAGAGACUUUUCA